UGGAAGAUCCGCUAUGUAAAAU
rnacentral:miRNA from 1 species